AUGGUCAGCGCCGGCGGCAGGUUCGAGAAGAGCCCCACCGCAGCGCCGUCCGUGGUCAGCGCCGGCGGCAGGUCCGGGGAGGUCCACGCCGGCCAGUACAACAUCUACCAACCGCCAGCCUCUCUCCAGGGCUGGCCCGACGACCACGACACGGAGGCCGCCCUCCGCCACCUCGGCCUCCUCGAUUUCGCGCGGCUCCAGCUCCCGGACGGUGUCCCCCGGCACGACCUCGUCUCCGAUCUGGUCGCCUCCUACCACCGGGAGAACUGCCGCGGCUACGCCUACCUCUGGGGGGUCCGCGUCAGUGUCGACCGCGAGUCCUUCCUCAGCGCGGCAGCCCUCCAAGCCACGGCGGAGCACAAAGUGCUCCCUCCACGGCGCAGGACGAGGAGCACAAGGAGCUCUUCCACGGUUACCUCCGCCGCCUUGCAGUUCAUGGAAAUCUGGAUCCUCCCGCAGUUCCAGGGCAGGGACAUGUUGCCGUCGAAUGUGUCGGCUGCGAUGCGGGAGGUGAAGGCGGAGUUGGCGCAUAACGUCGACUGGGGUGAGCUGAUCUGGGACCUAGUACAGAAUGAGAUUCUUGAAUUGCCAAAGAGGGAUGAUAAAAAUUCAUACUUUGGGUUGUAUCUCCUGAGACUCAUUUGGGCAAAGCAUCCAGAGGUGUUCGGGUUGAAGGACAGGAUGGAAAGACUCGCUCGGGUGCAUCUUGACAGAAUCUUACCGCAGGUAGUCGACAAAGUGACGGAAAGAAUCCGGUUGGAGUUUACGAGACCCAAGAAGAUUACGAGAUUCUUCUGGGAGCAGCAGCCGCAGGUGGUCAACAACCUGUCCAAACCGGUGGAGUCUGGGGAUGAAGCUGCAGCAGGUGUUCAAGUUCAACAGCAAUCCAUGGUGGGGGAUGAAGCUGCAGCAGCUGUUCAAGUUCAACAGCAAUCCAUGGCGGGGGAUGAAGCUGUGGCAGUUCUUCAAGUUCAGCAGCAAUCCAUGGUGGUAGAGAGCUCACCGCUGACCAUGGUGCUGAAUAAUGAUGCAAGCGUGGGCAAGAGGAACAGCUUGGAGGCUGCCCUGGCAGAGCCUGGGCACGCUGAUAUGCACAAGCAUGGAGUGAAGCAUGUGAAGCAGCAGUUUCAGCAGGGCAAUCAACAGAAGCAGACCUGUAACUGUAACAAGUGUAGUGUACCCAGUGGAUCCAUAGUUCUGAAUGGUGAUGCGAGCGUGGGCAAGAGGGACAGCAUGGAAGCUGCCCUGGUGGAGCCUGGGCAGGCUGAUGCACACAAGCAUGGAGUGAGGCAUGUGAAGCAGCAGUUUCAGCAGGUCAAUCGACAGAAGUGGACACGUAAGAGGAGCAAGCGUAGGGUACCCAGUGGAUCAACAAUCUCUUCCGCAAAUAGUUCUCGUGACAUUAUAGGAAUAAAGAGUGAGGUUAAACGUGCGCGACUGGAGAACCAACCUCCAAAGGAGUUGCUUGAAGCAGAGAUGUUUAUCCAGGCAAUAAAGGUGCUCAACGAGACACUGUCUGCAGAAACCAUCGUACAUAUCUUGCAGGACUCCACCGUCUGGCUCCCCGCUGAUGCGGGGUGGUGCAGUAGUGGAGGUCACUAA
rnacentral:rRNA from 1 species